rnacentral:rRNA from 1 species
AUUGAACGCUGGCGGAAUGCUUUACACAUGCAAGUCGAACGGCAGCACGGACUUCGGUCUGGUGGCGAGUGGCGAACGGGUGAGUAAUGUAUCGGAACGUGCCCAGUCGUGGGGGAUAACGUAGUGAAAAUUACGCUAAUACCGCAUACGAUCUAUGGAUGAAAGCGGGGGAUCGCAAGACCUCGCGCGAUUGGAGCGGCCGAUAUCAGAUUAGGUAGUUGGUGAGGUAAAGGCCCACCAAGCCAACGAUCUGUAGCUGGUCUGAGAGGACGACCAGCCACACUGGACCUGAGACACGGUCCAGACUCCUACGGGAGGCAGCAGUGGGGAAUUUUGGACAAUGGGCGAAAGCCUGAUCCAGCCAUUUCGCGUGCAGGAUGAAGGCCCUCGGGUUGUAAACUGCUUUUGUACAGAACGAAAAGGUUUCUACUAAUACUAGGAGCUCAUGACGGUACUGUAAGAAUAAGCACCGGCUAACUACGUGCCAGCCGCCGCAGUAA